CGUGGUACGCGAACCUCGGCACGCGAACCUCGUGGUACCACGCGACGCGAGACUACCGUUGCUGGCCCCGACCUCCAGUUCGUGUAUCCUCGUCGGUCCGCGAAGAAGAACGGCCGUCGGUAUUCGUCGCUGAUUCAACCCGCCCAUUCAGGCAGCACUAACCGUGUGGCUGCGUCUGUGACCUUCGCCACCCUUGACCCCAGCUUUCGUCCUCGACCGGGCACCUAGAACAUUCCACCGCUGCGGCCGAAUAAGUUUUCCAGCGCUUCGAAAGCAGGCCUCCGCUCUGCCCCGAGUGCUGCCCACGCCGGUGGCAGGAAACACGACGUCGCGCUACAAUGGCAUCGCGUGCUGUCGAAACCCGUAAGCUGUGCUGGUGAAUUCGUGCACGCCCUUCUGAAGACAUUCUGGCUGUGUUCCUGGACCGUUCUCCGAUUUGAGCGAAUAAUCCACUCCAGCCAUGACUGAGAUGUCCGAGGGGUCAACGUUCUCAGGCGGCGAACCCUCCGGGAUUGAGGAGUCGGCCAUGAGCGCCACUGCAAUUUACUGUGAGUUUCGCGCAGUGCUUUUACCAAAUACCCUUUCCAUAGAGGCACAAACCACAACGGUAUGACGAGAAGUAGGACGAACAAGGGAAGCCUCGGCUCGGAGCCAACGUUUUGACAGGAAGACUUUGUUAGGCUAGGCCAGCUUCUUUCCUAUGCCGGGGUUUGUUAACACACAUAAACAACAUAACAAACAUAAGUUGUUAGGCGAGAACAAUGUGAGGGAAGGGAAACAGCGUUGGGUAUGUUGAAAAGGAAACAUUAGUGUUGAUAGUUUAAUAGAACAAGGAAGCGAUGUCAGCUGUACAUAGAGGUACACCUAGGUAGGCAAUUCUUUAACCUUCUAGAAACUGUGAGGGCAGAAAAUCGAUAUGGAGCGAAUGAGAAAAAUAAUAAUAUUAAGCCGUAAAUACAUGGUCUCGAACGUUUAGUCAAAAAGCAUGACGUGAACAAAAAUUUGAUUUUCGUGGAUGA